rnacentral:sRNA from 1 species
AGCGAAGAAGGGAGGUGGUCCGACCAGUGUUCACUGACAGGACUCGUGAGGUGGCUGCCCGCUAGGGUCGCCCCUGCCCUGCGGAUCAUCCGCGGCGGCCGUUCCCCUCGGGGUUCAGACACGGUCGCGGGUAGUGGAACCCGGGCGAAUCCACAGCAGUCACCCGACCCGCGGGCUCACCGGUCGUCCUUCCGGUGCCCGGUACGACAGCCGUGUGCUGGCAUACCGGGAAGUGGCCCGCGGGUCGUCUGCU